rnacentral:tRNA from 1 species
GUGGCUGUAGCUCAGUGGCAGAGCACUUGUCUGGCACAUGGGAGACACUGAGUUUGAUCCUUAGCACCACA